AGAGAGGCUUUCUUAAUUUCCCUUCUCAAGGACCUGUUAAUUAAUCUUCCUCUUCAAACCCUGCUAUUGGUGAAGCCAGUCGGGUUUCUUACUUUGCUCUUUUGCUGAGUCAGGAGCCAGCUGGAAUGGGUGUUCAGCUUGUCUUCACUCUCCCCUGAGUCACUUCGAGUUUGGUUCUACUGACCUACAGGAAGCUUCUUCCCACCACUGAAUUCAAGGGACAGUCUUCUCAUAUGU
rnacentral:lncRNA from 1 species